CCUCCCUCCCUCCGGGCAAGCCGCCUUGGACGUCUGCCUGCCUGACGCUAGUCAUGGAAAGGGAUCCAGGACCCUUUGGGAGUGGCAUUCUGGUUUUUGUGUGGGUCCGUCAUCGUAAGUGGGUCCCCGUGUUUCUGAGAACAAAAUGGAGGAGCGCAGCCAGGCACGCGGUCAGCACAGGAAGCUGGCGUCUGAGCCCCUCCGUUCGGGAUGGGGUAGCGGCCGGCAGAGCCCCGUGUCUCCUUGGCAGAGGAAUUUCUCUCGAGGAUUGGCGUUUCCCUCAAGGAACCCGUAAGGCGAUAAAGCCAUCUGACCCUUAAGUGGAGGAAAGGACCCCUGGAUGUGUUCAGAGAGUGCAGCACGAGGUCCACACCAGAGGUUUGCUUUGUUUGUUUUCGAAGGAUUCUCCCGGGGGCACGGAUCUCUCCUGGCUUCCUGCGAACAGCCCGGAACCUUUGGCCACUUGAAUGCUGUCCUGGCGUUUCCUGUCCUUGAGAUCCAGCCUCCAAAGGAAGCAGACAUGAUGGCCAGUGGACACUAACAUGAUUGGCGGCUGUCACUGCCGCGGUUCGGUCAAAGGCCAGGAAACGGAAAAUAGUCUGUCUUUAUUUCAACCCCAAGGGCGUCACUUACAGGAAGUAGAAUGACCCUUCAGCUACUUGGAGCCUUCAGAUGUUUUUGGCGUCCUCCAGUCGCUGUGGUUCUCCACCAUACACAACAUCCUCGCCUUUCUCCCCGAGCAACUUCAGUCCUAACGAUUGGGCCCACAUUCUCUCCUUACAUUUCCUUAGCCGCUAGAACCUUCUUGCACCGGAGUCACAUCGGAUGACCAGGACCAAGUGGUUGGAACAGUUGAAAGCGAGCUGGGUAGAGGGGAGCCAACUGGAGACACAUGGACAAGAAAUCAUAAACGCGCUCUGCCCUCGUUUUCCCCUUCCUUCUCAGACCUUACGAUAGACAUAUGCUUUACCCUCUUUCACAAUUCACCGUCAGGAUGUUACUCAACAGAUCCUGUGUGUGUGUGUGUGUGUGUGUGUGUGUGUGUCUGCCCCUCCCCUGUUCACGGUCUGUCUCUCUCUGUCAAAAAUAAAUAAACAUUAAAACUAAAUAAAAAAUAAUUU
rnacentral:lncRNA from 1 species